UUAGACCACAUUCAUUCUGUUUCAGAAACCUAUGCUGUGUCAACUAUUUAAUUUUAAAUUUAAAUAAGUUUGAAGAAGAAAUCUUUAAUUGAUUUGUAAGAUCUUGACAUUUUUUUUGUGUAAAAAACCCAUAUAAUGUCAAAAAUUUGAUCACAAUCCAAAUUCAGAGCUGAAUCAAGCUUGAAUGCUUUGUCCAUACUUGCCCCAACUGUUCAGGGUUCGACCUCUGCGGUCGUAUAAAGCUGCGCCCUGCGGAGCACCUGGUUUAUUUGUGAAAUAUAUAAAAAUAUAUGUACAUACACAUACAUCUGUAUAUGACAAUCAGUCAAUACACUUUUGUCCCUAGC
rnacentral:lncRNA from 1 species